UAAUCACUCAGUCUCUCCCACUCUUUGCGACCCCAUAGACUGUAACCCCCCUGGUUGCUCUGUCUGUGGGAUUCUCCAGGCAGGAAUACUAGAGUGGGUUGCCACUUCCUCCUCCAGGAGAUUUUCCCGACCCAGGGAUCGAACCCAGGUCUCCUGCAUUACAGGCAGAUUCUUUACUGCCUGAGCCACUAAGAUGGAAACUAGUCCCCAUACAGUUAGCGGUCAGGGUCUCAGGGAGUUUGAGAGGAGAAUGAGGUGGGAGCUGGGCGGUCCCAGGUGGUUAUCCUCUAAGGUUGGCCAGUGCUGGGCAACUUAGUGCCGGGGACCGCCACAAGAACAUCCUGCUGCUUCUUAAACACAUGAAGACAUUGAGGGUAGAACUGUCCUCAGGAAAUUGAGGAUGGAGGAAGUGGCCCUUGGAAAAUCUGAGAGGUAUCAGACAUUGUGGAUUUGUGUUCAGUGCAAUUCAGUUUUAUUAUUUUAUGUGUCCUAGGCGUGACUCAGAAUGAAGCUCCUCCCUCCCCCCCAGUGACUCAGCCCAUUUUCCGUCACCAACCUAAGCUGUUAUCAUAAUUUGAAAUAUUUAAAAAAUAGGCACAAAAACCGCUCCAAGACUAUGAAAGCAAAAGCCAACGUUAUGAGAGUACAUUAUUUUGUAAAAGAGUGAAGAGAAUUUUCAGUGUUGAUGGAUAUGACUGUGGUUCAUUAAUUGUCACUGUUGUGUAGUAUUUCAUUGUAGCUAUAUACCACAAUUUAUUUACCCAUAUUUGAGUCACGAGGCAUUUGCUCUAUCUCCAGCUUCUUGCUAUUGCAAGCAAUGCUGCUUUAAACUUUUUUGUAUUGGAGAAGGAAAUGGCUACCCACUCCAGUAUUCUUGCCUGGAAAAUCCCAUGGUCUGAGCAUCCUGGUAGGCUACAGUCCAUGGGGUCGCAAAGAGUUGGACACGACUGAGCGACUUCACUUAUUAUGUUCAUAUGGAUGAGCUUCUUUAGGGACUACACUUAGGAGUAGAAUUCUUGAGUUGUCAAGUUCUCCAGAUACUGCUGAAAAGUUUUCUGGAGAGACUGGACCAAUUUACAUAGCUCUGUAUCCCCACUAAUUCUUGGGUAUUGUCAAACUUUUAAUGUUUACCAAUCUGGUUGGCAUAAAAUGAUAUCUUGUGGUUAUGAUUUUCCCUGAUUUCUACUUAGGUGCAUUGGUCAUACAUGUGUCCUCUCUAUGAAAUACCUGUUAACCAUUUUUCUAUUUGGUAUUUAUUUCUUACUCAUUUGUAAACAUCCUUUAUAUAUCCUCGAUACUCAUUCUUGGGUGGGAAUGUGUAUGGUAAAUGUCUUCUCCCCAUUUGUCACUUGCUUUUUCAUUUAAUUAUUUUUUCAGUGCAUAGUUCUUUAUUUUAAUGUGCCAAACAUACAAAUAAUUUUCUUAAGUGGGUUUUGUAUCUUUUCAAAAAGGAUUUUUAUCUGUUUAUAAGGAUAUCUUUUAUUUGUCUAUGUCAAUUAUAUCUUUUUUAACAGUAACUUUUUUAUUUCCUCUAAAAGCCAUAAGUUUUUCCUUUCAUAUUUAUAUCAUCAUUCAUCUAGAAUUUAGUUUUGUGUAUGAUGUUAGGUUGGAAUCCACUUUCUUUUCCACUUGGAUAAUCAGUUAGCCCAGCAUUAUCUCCUCAUUGAUCUGCAGUGUCACCUCUGUCAUGUAUCAAGUUUCCAUAUGUCCUGCAGAUUGGGAACAUUGGUCCUAGCAGUGUGUGUAUUUGGAUAGAAUCCUCUUACAAUAAAACAAGCUGAGGUCCCAGGGAGCUCAUCGUGUCUGUGCUGGAUUUGUUGGUACUGGUGACAUUUGGCAGAGACUGAAUACCUGGCUUGUAGAAGGAAACCUACCUCACCCUCGGUCUUGCUCUGGUAUGUGGAAGGCACACCACGACCAAUGACCAUGCCUCCUGCAUGCCUGGGGAUAAGGUCGAUACGGGACUGAUAGCGACCCCUGGUGGCCAGCGCACCCUUGUACAAAGGAUCGGCCCUCGUGUGGUCAUUUCAGGCAAGGAUGUAACCAUGAGCACCACCCUGAAUCCAGAAAUUGAGGUUUCCUAAAGAGUUCUUGGAAGGCAGUUCCUGGCGGCACUUCAACCUCAAAGAAGCAAAGAGAAGCCAAAACAAAAUCCAGACGCCCUUCAUGGCACAUUUGCUUUGUUAUGGAGGGCAGCGCUGCCAGAGAGAAGUCACUUUUCAAGUUUUCCACAUAUUGUCCCUCCUGGUGUCCUCAGAAAGGUAAACUUGGUGCCACAUAGAUCACUGUGCUACAGCGUAAGACUGUCCAGGGGCCCUGAGGACGUCUGUGCCCCCACGAGGGAAGAAGCCACUCUGACUGCCCCAGAGAGGAAAUCCCAUGAGAAGAAAGACUGUGGUUGCAGCAGAGGCGUGGCGGAGGCCCAAGGCCACACGGAGCACAGUGAGGCCCCCUGGCAGUGUCCCCAGCAACAGCGUCUCAGAGAUUCCGACAUGGUCUUUUGUGUUGUGUGACUCUUGGGAAGACCUGUUUUCCCUUAAGUCCCAGAGCCAUGGGACAGGGCGCCGAGUUUGGCAGUGCUGGUUGCUGACAUCUGCACGUUGGCGCUGUUCUCCGUGCAGCCAGCCCUGACACCGGCGGGGUUCCCUUCGGCUUCCCUGC